GGCAUUAGGGGUAGGGUGCUCAGCGCCCGACCUCCACCCUUUGUUGUUAAAACUACCUUGUUGCUUUGGCGGGACCGCUCGGUCUCGAGCCGCUGGGGAUUCGUCCCAGGCGAGCGCCCGCCAGAGUUAAACCAAACUCUUGUUAUUAAACCGGUCGUCUGAGUUAAAAUUUUGAAUAAAUCAAAACUUUCAACAACGGAUCUCUUGGUUCUCGCAUCGAUGAAGAACGCAGCGAAAUGCGAUAAGUAAUGUGAAUUGCAGAAUUCAGUGAAUCAUCGAAUCUUUGAACGCACAUUGCGCCCCUUGGUAUUCCGAGGGGCAUGCCUGUUCGAGCGUCAUUACACCACUCAAGCUAUGCUUGGUAUUGGGUGCCGUCCUUAGUUGGGCGCGCCUUAAAGACCUCGGCGAGGCCUCACCGGCUUUAGGCGUAGUAGAAUUUAUUCGAACGUCUGUCAAAGGAGAGGACUUCUGCCGACUGAAACCUUUUAUUUUUCUAGGUUGACCUCGGAUCAGGUAGGGAUACCCGCUGAACUUAAGCAUAUCAAUAAGCGGAGGAA
rnacentral:rRNA from 1 species